rnacentral:lncRNA from 1 species
ACCUAACGGCUCUUCUUCGAGUCUUCUCAGAGGUUGGAGAUUCCCUGUCUUCUCCAACCUCUGCCAAGUCUUCAGAGAGGUUGGAGUGCGCCUGUCGGAGGUACUAGACCCCAGAUGAGGAUCUCGGGAAGAUCCACAAAGCUGCGUCCAGGGGAGCGAACCUGUGGAAGCUGCAGCGGAGCCUCCUGCUCAAGAGUAAAGGACCGGUCUGAAACCUCCAAGAACAGAAGAGCCAUGUGACCGGAUCCCUGGUUUGGCAGAGGAGACAUGCGAGAAGACGGAGCUUUUUGUCCGAACAGACAUCUGGCAGGGUGGAACGGAGAGAACAGGUAUGGUGGAGAGAACGUCUGAGAAGGUCGCAGGAUUCGCAGGAGCAUCGGGAAAAGAUUGCCUGUUUGCCCGAAGGAAUGGCAAGUUCCAAAGCUGUGCUGUGGGCAGUGUUUAGUUCAUGUCUGCUUUGCUGGCGGGCCGAGUAGCAACAGCUGCAGUUGGUGUGUUCUCUGAAGGCAGUAUCUGAAAGCUGGAGGGGUUGCUUUUCUUCCCAGGUGUCUUUUGAA